ACUAGGAAGGACCUCGGACUGCGCGGCGCGACGAGGGUAAGUUGUGGGCAGACUGCGCCGCCGCUCGCGGGCGCGCGGCCGCGGUCCCUGUGACACGGAGUGCAGGUCGUUGCCCGGAAGGAAAGGGGAGCUGUGGCUUGGGCUUAUGAAAGAGAAGGUCCGGAAUCACCAUUGGAGGGAAGGGGAAAAGGAACCGACCAGAAUAGCAGGACUGGGAAGAGUGGGGCCCUGCUGCGCUUGUACACACCUCGCAGCAGCUGGGACGCAGGGACAGAUGAGAAGGCCGGGGACGGGGGGGACGCGCUCUGUGCCAGGGAAACAAACAGGAGCCGGGUCCGAGAGGGUACGUGGCGGGCAGACGCCCGGCCUAAGGGAGAGCCUUGCAUCAGGGCAGCGGUCUGGUUUUGGAGGCACUGGGGAUGUUUCCCGGGCAAGGGACCCAAACCACUCGGGCCACGUAAGCAGAAAGGAGAGGGAUUUAUUCUCGGACCCCAGGGUGUAUGGAGGAGCCCAAGGGCAGCGGGACCUAGGGCUGGCCUCAGGAAGUGUCUGGAACCCCAAAGCGCUGCCCAUGGAAGUUAUUCCUCUCCUGAAGACCAGCUCACCCUGCUGCCCAGGCCACAAAGCAAGGCGGAGAGAUGAAGGCAGCGAGAGGAACUGAGCAGAGAUGGACUGGGCCUGGGUCCCACAGGGAGGCAGCGUCACUCCUCCCGCCCUUCUAAAGAGUCCCUAACUGCUGCCUUCAGGGGUUGAGAGGUGGCUGGAGACUCCUGUCCUCCCGAUGCCAGCACUGGAGCCCUUGAUGCUUGGAGCUGCCCCAGCUCCUGCUCCCUGAGGACACAGUUCUCAGCCUGAAGGUCAGCAGUCUUGGAGUCUCCCCAGCAUAUCUGACCCCCUUCCCUAGGGGUCCCCAGAGAACAGGUGAGGCAAAAGACAGGAGCCCCACCCCAUCAAGCUCCUGCAUGCAGGGUCAUAAAGAUGAGGAUCUCUGUCAGAGUGGAACAGUAUGCAAGCCUAGACCAGGAGCGCUCCAGGCAGUGGAGCGUGCUACAUCGUCUGUCACUGGAGGCUGCAUAUCACAUCACAGUGUUUCCUGAAUUUAGUAAGAAGUGCAAAUAAUGCCUUGUUUUGUUUUUUUAAAGAUUGGCCCUGAGCUAAUAUCUGUUGCCAAUCUUUUUUCUUGUUCUUGUUCUUGUUCUUCUUCUCCCCAAAGCCCCCCAGUACACAGUUGUAAGUCCUUCUAGUUGUGGCAUGUGGG
rnacentral:lncRNA from 1 species